UAGGGAAUCUUCCACAAUGGACGAAAGUCUGAUGGAGCAACGCCGCGUGAGUGAAGAAGGGUUUCGGCUCGUAAAACUCUGUUGUUAAAGAAGAACAUAUCUGAGAGUAACUGUUCAGGUAUUGACGGUAUUUAACCAGAAAGUCACGGCUAACUACGUACCAG
rnacentral:rRNA from 1 species